rnacentral:rRNA from 1 species
AUUGAACGCUGGCGGCAUGCCUUACACAUGCAAGUCGAACGGCAGCGCGGGAGCAAUCCUGGCGGCGAGUGGCGAACGGGUGAGUAAUAUAUCGGAACGUGCCCAGUAGUGGGGGAUAGCCCUGCGAAAGCCGGAUUAAUACCGCAUACGACCUACGGGUGAAAGGGGGGGAUCGCAAGACCUCUCGCUAUUGGAGCGGCCGAUAUCAGAUUAGGUAGUUGGUGGGGUAAAGGCCUACCAAGCCUGCGAUCUGUAGUUGGUCUGAGAGGACGACCAGCCACACGGGGACUGAGACACGGCCCAGACUCCUACGGGAGGCAGCAGUGGGGAAUUUUGGACAAUGGGCGCAAGCCUGAUCCAGCAAUGCCGCGUGCAGGAAGAAGGCCUUCGGGUUGUAAACUGCUUUUGUCAGGGAAGAAAUCCUCUGGGUUAAUACCUCGGGGGGAUGACGGUACCUGAAGAAUAAGCACCGGCUAACUACGUGCCAGCCGCCGCCGUAAUAC